ensembl:lncRNA
GGUGAUCACUGGAGACUCAGAGGUGAGUAUAGGAGAUCACUGGAGACGUGAUGGUCAGUAUAGGAGAUUGCUGGAGACUCAGAGGUGAGUGUAGGAGAUCGCUGGAGACGUGAUGGUCAGUAUAGGAGAUCGCUGGAGACUCAGAGGUGAGGGUAGGAGAUCGCUGGAGACUCAGAGGUGAGUGUAGGACAGGGAUAGGCAACUCCGGUCCUGGAGGGCCACUGUCCUGCAGAGUUUAGCUUCAGCCCUCAUAAAAACUCACCUGCCUGUAUCUAUCUAGUAAUCCCGAAAACACUAAUUGCCUUGUUCAGGUGUGUUUAAUUAGGGUUGGAGCUAAACUCUGCAGGACAGUGGCCCUCCAGGACCGAAGUUGCCUAUCCCUGGUGUAGGAGAUCACUGGAGAUGUGAUGGUCAGUAUAGGAGAUCGCUGGAGACUCAGAGCUGAGUAUAGGGGUUCACUGGAGAUGUGAUGGUCAGUGUAGGAGAUCGCUGGAGACUCAGAGGUGAGGGGAGACUCAGAGGUAAGUAGAUCACUGGAGACAUGAUGGUCAGAAUAGGAGAUCGCUGGAGACUCAGAGGUGAGUAUAGGAGAUCACUGGAGACAUGAUGGUCAGAAUAGGAGAUCGCUGGAGACUCAGAGGUGAGUAUAGCAGUCCCAGACAUAAAAGACAAUUUGAAUAACAAAUUUUUGUAUAGAAAAAUCAAUAAAAUAGUUUAAACAAAAAUAUGCACUAAAUAAAUGGAUGUGAUCAUUCAUUAAAAGCAUGUGGUUGUUUUUCUUAUAAGAAAAGGUAUUAUUUUAUUAGUAAAAAAAAAGCACCGAAGUUGACAUGGACCAAUGAGAAGACUAAAGUUAAACAGUGAACUCCCUUCUUUUAUCCAUUUAUGUCAUUUAUGUUCAUGUAUAUGUAAACACCUACACUGGUGUGUGUAUAAGAUUUUUUUAACACUAAUAACAAAUAAUACAAAAUUUAUCAAAAAUUACAGUAAAGACUUUUAC